AUACGGAGGGUGCAAGCGUUACUCGGAAUCACUGGGCGUAAAGCGCGCGUAGGCGGCUUGAUAAGUUGGAUGUGAAAGCCUACGGCUCAACCGUAGAACUGCAUCCAAAACUGUCAAGCUAGAGUCUGUGAGGGGAAGAUGGAAUUAGUUGUGUAGGGGUAAAAUCCGUAGAGAUAACUAGGAAUACCAAAAGCGAAGGCGAUCUUCUGGAACAGUACUGACGCUGAGGCGCGAAAGCGUGGGGAGCAAACAGAAUUAGAUACCCUAGUAGUCC
rnacentral:rRNA from 1 species